rnacentral:rRNA from 1 species
UCCGUAGGGGGCUAGCGUUGUCCGGAAUCAUUGGGCGUAAAGCGCGUGUAGGCGGUCCGGUAAGUCCGCUGUGAAAGUCGGGGGCUCAACCCUCGAAUGCCGGUGGAUACUGUCGGGCUAGAGUGCGGAAGAGGCGAGUGGAAUUCCUGGUGUAGCGGUGAAAUGCGCAGAUAUCAGGAGGAACACCAAUUGCGAAGGCAGCUCGCUGGGACGUAACUGACGCUGAGACGCGAAAGCGUGGGGAGCAAACAGG